rnacentral:tRNA from 1 species
AAGAAGUAGUUUAAAAAGAAUUCCAGCUUUGGGUGCUGGGGGUGAGAAAUUUCCUCUUCUUCUUGAU